GGGAUGUAGCAGGGAAUCCUGAGCAACAGCCUGAUGAGGAGACUCCCCAUACCUCAUCAGGCUGUUGCUCAGGAUUCCCUGCUACAUCUG